CCUACGGGUGGCAGCAGUCGAGAAUCAUUCACAAUGGGGGAAACCCUGAUGGUGCGACGCCGCGUGGGGGAAUGAAGGUCUUCGGAUUGUAAACCCCUGUCAUGUGGGAGCAAAUUAAAAAGAUAGUACCACAAGAGGAAGAGACGGCUAACUCUGUGCCAGCAGCCGCGGUAAUACAGAGGUCUCAAGCGUUGUUCGGAAUCACUGGGCGUAAAGCGUGCGUAGGCUGUUUCAUAAGUCGUGUGUGAAAGGCGCGGGCUCAACCCGCGGACGGCACAUGAUACUGCGAGACUAGAGUAAGGGAGGGGGAACCGGAAUUCUCGGUGUAGCAGUGAAAUGCGUAGAUAUCGAGAGGAACUCUCGUGGCGAAGGCGGGUUCCUGGACAUUAACUGACGCUGAGGCACGAAGGCCAGGGGAGCGAAAGGGAUUAGAUACCCCUGUAGUC
rnacentral:rRNA from 1 species